GCUACACAGGUGACGGAACCAUUUUGGACUGAUUCGCUGGAAUAAAUCUGACUUUACGACGCUACAUGUGUGAAAAAGACAGAGGGGGGUUCGUUUAGGUCUGACGGGGUAAAUGAAGUCUCACUUCUACAGAAAAAAACACCAGAGUAGGAGGAUGUAACGGCGCUGAGAUUUUUGGUGAAGCGUUUCAGCAAAGUGAGAACGAAGAGGUGCAGAGCUCAUCGCUUCGAUUGUCAUGGAUCCUUGGAUGGAAAAACAGAUUAAUAUGCAUUAAA